UCAUGAAUCCACCGAGUAAGUCAAAGAAUCUGGAGUUGGUACUCAAAAACAGUGCAGAGGGCCGUUGUUCCUGAGCAAGCUUGUCACUUGUCAUUCGGUGUUGUAGAGAGAGUGUUGUACCUGUCAGUGUGAUUCCUCAGCUGCAUCUUGGCAGCUCUGAAAUGUGUGGGCUGACUGAAACUGGGUAUUGCUUGGCUCUUCAAACAAACCAAUGUCUCCAUAGUCACUUAUGUAUUUAUUAUUCAAAAGUGUUAUUUUAAUAUUUAUUGCUCUGUGAAUGCACAGUUCUGUUGGAUUCACUAGGGAGGGAUUUGUCUGAAAGCAUGGUUAUUUUUCUGGAUAAAGUUUACAGACAAAGACAAUCAGAAGCAUUGGUCCUUCUCUUUUAUCAUCACUCCUUACCAGGUGAGCGUGCUUCCUGUCUUGCUUAGCCUUCCUGCUGGGGGAGACUUAAUAGCUACAUAGGAAUUUCCUGGAAUUUGAAUCAGUCUAUUUAGGCAGCAAGAUACAGAGGCUGGGUUUAUACAGCAGUGUCCCUGCUGUUGGUAACGCUAGCAGGGGCUGCAUGCAGCUCCAGAGUCUUAUCUGCUUCAGUCUUGAGUGCAGUGACUGACUGCGUGACCUGCUGUUGGGUCUGUGUGUCCCCAACAUGAAGCACCUCAGAGCUUUGAUCAGUUGCUUUGUUUUGUGUCAUGUCACAGCUAGCAUGGGUUGAAUGUGUUGAUUUUAUAAUGAAAGUAAAGAAAGGAGAUUCUCCUCCCCACAGUGAAUAGAUCGUUAAUUGGUUCUUUACAGAGAGGGAAAUCCAUUUUAAUGAGAAAAUAGAUUCUGUCAAAUCAAGAAGAAAUAACUGGUCACCAGUUGCUUGUUAGUGUCUCUGGGCUAAGCAGUGCUUAAUCACAUUGACUAACCUCAGCGAGUCUGUGGAUGAGUAAUCUCUACUGGAACAAAGGUUUCUGUGUGUGUGUGUGUGUGUGUGUGUGUGUGUGUGUGUGUGUGUGUGUGUAAGUGCAAGAGAUCAUGAAAGAGACGGGGCACGGGGAGAGAAUGAGAAUAUCUGUGUAUGUGUUAAUGGAGUGUUGUCUUGAAUGAAUCCCUGGGAAGCCAUGGGGAGUGCAGGGAAGAAGGGAGAGCCUCGGGCUUCGCUGUUGCUUGGACCCCCACUUGGCAUGAGAGAAAGAAGCUCAGGUACAGAGGAUUCUCAACCAAUAGCCAACAGGCCUCACUCGGAAGGACUGGGCAAGAUGAGAUGGCUGUCUGCAGAGAAAAAGCUUGGGAAAAUGAGGUCCUCAGUAGUUUGCUCAAGUCUCUGUUUUCUAGACACCAAAAUGGCUGCUCUGUGACUAGGAUUGCUCCGCAGCAGUGUGCACUUUAAAUGAUUGGGUGUUGGAGUAUCGCAGUCUGAAACAGCAUGGCUUGAUGAAUUUACAGAUUAUGUGAAGCUAACUUCCCAUUUGACAAUUACUGAUUUGCAGUGAUCGAUAUAUUUAUGAAUGUUUAAACUGACCAAGAAUGGCACUUGAGGCCACUCACCACUCUUCUGUGAUUCCCUGUUUCCCUGGGGCUCAGCAAGCCUGAGUGCCUGGGCAGGGAAGGCUACCUGGUGGGCGCAGAGUCCCUCUAGUGGCCAUUUCUGAUUUAUUUGAUGACACACAGCAAGUUCUCUAGGGCUGAAAUUAACUGGAGACUUGGGGUAAGGACUAACAAACAUACAUACACAGAUGGGGCGCUCUGUCCAGGAGAAGAGUCCGACUGGCAUUUGUGGCAGUGUUUGAAAUGUAAAUGUACUCCUGUGUGUUCCUGUAAAUAUUUAAUAUGUGUCUCAGACGUCCUUUGAAGUGGGAGGGGAUCGAUCUUGGGAUAAUUUCAAAUGGAAUAGAGUAUUUUGAUAUGUUCAUUGAAAGGGUGAUGUGUACAUACUUAUAUUGUAUAUAUGUGGUGACAUGCAUUGGCUUUUGUGCAGAAACAACCUGCUCUUGUGCUGCUGUUGGACAGUCAAGUGUUUUAAUGUUUCUACAGUUUUCCUAUUGCACGAUUUCAUAUUCUGCCAAUGGUGAGUGGCACCCAUUCUUUGUAACCGUAUAGUGCUGUAAAGAAAUAUUCCAAGUGUCAUUAGGAUUGUCGCUGCCAGAAUUGAUAUGCAUGGAUGGCACUUAAAAUAAAUAUAUUAUGAUAACUG
rnacentral:lncRNA from 1 species